rnacentral:rRNA from 1 species
UACAGAGGGGGCAAGCGUUGUUCGGAAUUACUGGGCGUAAAGGGCGCGUAGGCGGCCUGUUAAGUCGAACGUGAAAUCCCCGGGCUCAACCCGGGAACUGCGUCCGAUACUGGCAGGCUUGAAUCCGGGAGAGGGAUGCGGAAUUCCAGGUGUAGCGGUGAAAUGCGUAGAUAUCAAGAGGAACACCUGCGGCGAAAGGCGGGUUGCUGGGCCGACACUGACGUGAGGCGCGAAAGCCAGGGGGAGCGAACGGGG